ensembl:lncRNA
CGGCUCACUAAAAAGAGCCGGCUCUUUCGGCUCCCGAACCGGCUCUUCAGGUUGUUUUGUUGCUUUCAUUCAUUUAUUAUUAACAACAAUAUAAAAUUAUGCACAAAAUGAAUUACUAAUGUUUAAAAACGUGUUUUCUAUGUAUAUAUGUUCAUUAUAUAAAUAUGCUUUUAUUUAUUCACUCCACAUAAAAUUUAAAAAAUAAAUUAUAAAAUACAAAAACCUACCAUUUACAAUUUAACUUUUAAAAUUUAAACUUUAAAUUUAAAAAUACCAAGUGCUCAGCUCAGUGGGUAGAGACACUGGCAGCUUCACUUAUAUCACACUUAACUCACUGUGUUUUAUCUUCCCAUCGCACUGAUGAGUGGACAGUUUUCAGGUGCCCGUGCACCGGCUCUAUAUGAUAUCCUUUUCUUGCAGACUCUACACUCUGCCUAUGUGUACAAAAGGCCCGCCAGUCGGCGGACCUGACGAACAGAGCCACAUCUGCCGACCAGCCAAUGAGCGGUGAGGCAACCCAUCCUCUUCACCAAUCAGAAGACACAAUUCUACCUCAUCAUUACGCACACACGUCGACGCAGAGAGUUCGGUCGGAGCUGCAGGUGUGGAGAGUGAGCAGUUUUACUCACCGUGUGGAUUUUCGUUCCUUCUAAUGCUGUUAGCAGUGUGCGUCCAUGAGACUAAACCACACCAUCACUUCACCACACGUCAUAUAGCAUUUCACAGCCUGUUAAUCCCCUCACUCACAUUAUGGAUGUGUACCUCGGCUUCGUGCUAAAUAAAUGAGUGAACGACAGAUACCUGAGUGGCAGUGGAUUUGUGGAUAAGCCAUCCGUUCUUAUCGGACAACCCUGUUGAGAUUGUGGAUUCAUAGAGUCAGCACCUUAUCAUCUUCAUUAUUCAUAGUCAGGAGGUCAAGUCCAUCCCUCUUAACGUGACAUCCUCCAUUACACUAUGUAUUGUCAGUAAAAUUUAAAUGGUUCUAGAUUUUGCUUCUUUUCUUGGUGUCACUCAUUUUCUUUACUCCACCUUUCUAAUGUGACGACAUUGUCUCUUGUUGCUCCCGGCUCUCUUUCUCUCUCUCUCCCUGCUGCUCUUUUCGUGUGCUACUGCUGUUGCGAGUGUAACUACCGCCCCUAGCUCCUCCCUCUGCUCAGAGGCGGGAGGGGUGCAAACGCAAGGCUCUGUUUGCGCCCCUCCCGUCUCUACUCAGCGCAAACACAAGGCUGACGUGCAGCGAAAAAAGUGAGAGAGAGGGCAAGAGAAAGUAAAAAAAAAAAAUCCACGGCUCCCAAUAAGGAGCUGGCUCGCAUCGUUCACUUCAAAGAACCGGCUCUAAGAGCCAUUUCGUUCGCGAACGACCCAUCACUACUCCGGUGACUGGUCAACUUUCCACUCACCACUGAUUUACUGUAGAAAGAGGAUGAGAGCGUAGAGGGAAUACUUCAGAAGCGCAAACCAGGGCAGCUUCCUUUCUAACAUCCUUCAACAAACCUUCCUCACUGUCCCUUGUUUGCACAUGCCCAACACAACCUCAACCUGGCCAAUGUAGAACAAUGUAGACAUUUUUUCCAACAUGUGCAGUCCCAAUGAUAUUGUUCUUCCUAAUCCUAUCCAUUCUCUCCACCCUCAAAAAGAAUCCCAGCAUCUUUGCUUUCCCCAAACUCACCUCCAAGAACUGCAAUCUAUUAAGAACUCUGCUGCCCCCUUACUCUACUGCACUCACUCUAGAGACUAUAUCACCACAUCCUAAAAAGAACAUUACUGGCUGCACACUGACUAUAGUAUUGAGUGCAAACUCCUAAUCAACUUUUAAGCCUUCAACAACCUCGCCCCCGCCACCCUGAGGGAUUGUCUUUACUGUCACUCUCCCACAACACUGCUAACACUAACCUCCUUACCCCCA